AGCCAUAUAAACCUUAACAGUAAACAGGAAAAUCACCUUCUUAACAGGGGAUUUUCAGCCUCUUGAAAAUUCCCAUAGGAAACCAUUGAUUCAAUACUUUCCUAUGGGGAAGGCCUAACGUGUGCAGCACUCGCCGCCCAUGUGCAUUAGGUUCCUCCUCUUGCUGAAGUCGGAAGAGGUGGAGACGGAACCAGCAUCGAGGGACGUUGGCACUGGAACCAGGUUAGUUCCAAACAUACCAAGUAUGCAGUUAUAUUACAGAUCCUUGAUUGUGGCACAAGGCUUAAUUUUGUAAUGGCA